GGGGGUGGAAGAGCCCUCACUCUGCCGUGGUAGAAGCUGAUGCAGUAUGUGUAGAAGACCCAGUGUAAAGUCUCCAGGUCUCGUCACUGCUGGUUUCAGAGUGGAAUCUGGUGACAUGUGAGCGUGGCCUGUGUACGAGCUUCCGCCUUUCUGCAAAUGCCAUUUUAAUUUAAGAUUCAUUUUUCGACAAAACAUGCUGUUAACUCGUGUAAAUGUAUAGCUCUAACCCUGUUUUUUUUCUAAUAGAUUGACUACCAUUAAAUGAGACUUUGUAACCCGUCAAGCUUGCUGUUGGUUUCAGAUUACUUGAUUUGGAAAAUGCUGUUAGUGUUCCCACAAGUCAUUGAAAAUGGUCAAAGCUGAUUAUAGUUUAUUGUACAUUUAACAUUGUGCUUAAUCUAAAAUGUGUAUUGGC